rnacentral:rRNA from 1 species
AUUGACCGCUGGCGGCAGGCUUAACACAUGCAAGUCGAGCGGAGAUGAGGUGCUUGCACCUUAUCUUAGCGGCGGACGGGUGAGUAAUGCUUAGGAAUCUGCCUAUUAGUGGGGGACAACAUUCCGAAAGGAAUGCUAAUACCGCAUACGUCCUACGGGAGAAAGCAGGGGAUCUUCGGACCUCGCGCUAAUAGAUGAGCCUAAGUCGGAUUAGCUAGUUGGUGGGGUAAAGGCCUACCAAGGCGACGAUCUGUAGCGGGUCUGAGAGGAUGAUCCGCCACACUGGGACUGAGACACGGCCCAGACUCCUACGGGAGGCAGCAGUGGGGAAUAUUGGACAAUGGGGGGAACCCUGAUCCAGCCAUGCCGCGUGUGUGAAGAAGGCCUUAUGGUUGUAAAGCACUUUAAGCGAGGAGGAGGCUACUGAGACUAAUACUCUUGGAUAGUGGACGUUACUCGCAGAAUAAGCACCGGCUAACUCUGUGCCAGCAGCCGCCGUAA